rnacentral:rRNA from 1 species
GACGAACGCUGGCGGCGUGCUUAACACAUGCAAGUCGAACGGAAAGGCCCUGCUUUUGUGGGGUGCUCGAGUGGCGAACGGGUGAGUAACACGUGAGUAACCUGCCCUUGACUUUGGGAUAACUUCAGGAAACUGGGGCUAAUACCGGAUAGGAGCUCCUGCUGCAUGGUGGGGGUUGGAAAGUUUCGGCGGUUGGGGAUGGACUCGCGGCUUAUCAGCUUGUUGGUGGGGUAGUGGCUUACCAAGGCUUUGACGGGUAGCCGGCCUGAGAGGGUGACCGGCCACAUUGGGACUGAGAUACGGCCCAGACUCCUACGGGAGGCAGCAGUGGGGAAUAUUUCACAAUGGGCGGAAGCCUGAUGCAGCAACGCCGCGUGCGGGAUGACGGCCUUCGGGUUGUAAACCGCUUUCGCCUGUGACGAAGCGUGAGUGACGGUAAUGGGUAAAGAAGCACCGGCUAACUACGU